UAGAAUCUCCUGGCCUUUCGGCCCUCAUCCAUCAAUGUCUCUGGGGAGUAUCGGCCCAGCUCUAGGAACUUACGAGCAUACUCUGAUACUGUCAUGUUUCCCUGAACCAGUUGAACAAACUCCGUUUCCUUUAGGUAUCGGAUGUGCUCAGGGAGAUAUUCCACAUGGAAGGCCGCUAGGAACUGCUCCCAAGUGACUGGUGUAGGCAGGGUGGUCUGCUUAAGCUCCCACCAACGUCCUGCUUCCCCUACCAGCAUGAAGGAAGCAAGGGCAUCUCUCUGCUCAGAAACUACUCCCAAGAUCCUGAAAGCUCUCUCAGUCUCCGCUAGCCAGUACUGGGCCUCUUCAAAAGAGGAUCCCCCUGCAAAGGUGGAAGGGUUCAGUCUCCUGUACCUCUCUAUGUAGCCCGAGUCGAUCAAGGAAGGAGCGGGGUCCCGUAGAGGAGGGACUGGACCCGGCUGGGGAUAGACUGUGGGGCCCUGUGGUGGCACCUGCUGAAAUGGUGGGGGUACCGGAUUGUACUAUGGCGGUGCUGGGCAGUACGGUGGCUGGGGCACCGGUUCAUACUACGGCGGUGGUGUCGGGUGGUACUGUGGUGGAGCAGGUUCGUACCUGGGUGGCUCGGGAUCCGCUUGUUGUAACGAUGGCUCAACCCGUGGUAGUGGGGGAGGUUCGGGUAACUCCCUUCUCUCCUCUCGACCUUGCUGGGCGGCCAUAAUCCUUUCCAGCAUCUCAAAUAUUCUGUCCACAUCUUCCCAAAGGGAAUCAUCCCGGGCUGCUCGGUUUAGUAGGGGUCUUCCUCUCCUCAUCUCUCUGCACCUGCAUUUCAUAAGGAAUGUUUGAGUAACGAUUUAUCGGUGAAUAUUUCUCUAAGCAUUAUUAUGUAAGGGAUGGGUCCGAGGAAUGAGGCUCUGAUACCAACUGUAGCAGCCCUGGAAAUUUAAAUGAAAUAUAUGUAUUAAAAAUGUUAAAUGCGGAAGCGUAAUAAAAAUUUUGAUUAGCAUCCCUUACACAGUAACUAAAACAUACUCAAAACAUGAAAGAACAAACUAACUAAAAGAGAUACUCGAAAUAAGAACUAUAAAUAUAGCUAUGGAGU
rnacentral:lncRNA from 1 species